UGGGGAAUCUUGGACAAUGGGCGCAAGCCUGAUCCAGCCAUGCCGCGUGGAUGAUGAAGGCCUUAGGGUUGUAAAAUCCUUUCGUGGGGGACGAUAAUGACGGUACCCCAAGAAGAAGCUCCGGCUAACUUCGUGCCAGCAGCCGCGGUAAUACGAAGGGGGCUAGCGUUGUUCGGAUUUACUGGGCGUAAAGCGCGUGUAGGCGGGUCGUUAAGUUGGGGGUGAAAUCCCGAGGCUCAACCUCGGAACUGCCUUCAAAACUGGCGACCUGGACCCAAGUAGAGGCAAGUGGAAUUGCGAGUGUAGAGGUGAAAUUCGUAGAUAUUCGCAGGAACACCAGUGGCGAAGGCGACUUGCUGGACUUGUGGUGACGCUGAGACGCGAAAGCGUGGGGAGCAAACAGGAUUAGAUACCCCAGUAGUCCCUGAGCGGGCUGGCAAGGCGCAU
rnacentral:rRNA from 1 species